GAUGAACGCUGGCGGCGUGCCUAAUACAUGCAAGUCGAGCGAACAGACGAGGAGCUUGCUCCUCUGACGUUAGCGGCGGACGGGUGAGUAACACGUGGAUAACCUACCUAUAAGACUGGGAUAACUUCGGGAAACCGGAGCUAAUACCGGAUAAUAUAUUGAACCGCAUGGUUCAAUAGUGAAAGAUGGUUUUGCUGUCACUUAUAGAUGGAUCCGCGCCGCUUUAGCUAGUUGGUAAGGUAACGGCUUACCAAGGCAACGAUGCGUAGCCGACCUGAGAGGGUGAUCGGCCACACUGGAACUGGAACACGGUCCAGACUCCUAUGGGAGGCAGCAGUAGGGAAUCUUCGGCAAUGGGCGAAAGCCUGACGGAGCAACGCCGCGUGAGUGAGGAAGGUCUUCGGAUCGUAAAACUCUGUUAUUAGGGAAGAACAAAUGUGUAAGUAACUAUGCACGUCUUGACGGUACCUAAUCAGAAAGCCACGGCUAACUACGUG
rnacentral:rRNA from 1 species